CAUUAUUAUAAUUUGCAAGAUCUGCAGGUAGGUGAGCAAAAAGCUAAGGUUUGGUAAGACAUUAAGCUACUGAAAGCUGAAGAAAAUUGAUUUGGAAAUUCUUGUGAAUCUUGUUGGUGACAAGGAAAGAUAUUUAAAAUCUCACAUGGUGCUAAAAUCUUGGGAUCUUAGAGAAUUUUCUUUUCUGUACAUCCUUCAUCCAAAGUUGAAUAUCUCUAUCUCACCAUGACUCCGAAUUGAGUAAAAUUGAUGGUGUUGAAAUUUUAUUGUUCAUAUCUAGAUCGGGUUAUUCUCGACAUUGUUUGAGAGGUAAAAAUCUACCUAAGUUCCCUUUUCUUUUUCAAAUCAAGCUCUUUGAAUCAUAGAUUUAGGUAUGAAUUUAAAAAAAGAAAAAAAAAGGAAAAAAAAGAAGAGAAAAUUGUGAGACAAUUGUUAAUAAAAUAUGAGUUAAAUUUUUUAUUUUUUUAUUUCUCUUUUAUUGUCAAAUUUCUAUUGAGAUCUUUAUCCAAAUACAAUGUUAUUUCUUUGUUUGAAAUUUGCAUUCAAUCAAUGAAUGAGUCCGGAUCGUCUGCCGUGAUUUCCUGCGGGGUCUCCUGCGGCGGUCCAAAACGACGUUGUUUUGGACUUUUUUUUCUCUCUCUUUGCUGUUAAGCCUCUUUCUUCCCUUUCAUCUCUCACCCAAACACACAGACAAAGAUGGAUGGCCAUAGAAUGGAUUCAACUCAGCACCAUUAACAAAAAUUGCAAAAUUAUCUACAGCUAGCUCUUCCUCUGUUAUCCAUCUCUCUCUCUCUCUCACACACACACAUAUAUGUAUACAUAUACAUACAUACAUAUAUAUAUAUAUAUAUAUAUAUGAAAUUGUUUUCAAAUAUUGAUAUGAGUUUGAAAUUGUAUAUGAAUCUAAACUUCAUAAAUCUGAUCUUGAAGUUUUCAAACCCACUUUGUUUUCAAAUAUAUGUAUAUAUCCAACAAAAAAAAAAAAACUUCAUGAAUGACUUGUAUGUUCCUAAAAAAAAAAA